rnacentral:rRNA from 1 species
UGCAGUCGACGGUAGCAGAAAGCAGCUUGCUGCUUUGCUGACGAGUGGCGGACGGGUGAGUAAUGUCUGGGAAACUGCCUGAUGGAGGGGGAUAACUACUGGAAACGGUAGCUAAUACCGCAUAACGUCUCAAGACCAUGGAGGGGGACCUUCGGGCCUCUUGCCAUCGGAUGUGCCCAUAUGGGAUUAGCUUGUUGGUGGGGUAACGGCUCACCAAGGCGACGAUCCCUAGCUGGUCUGACAGGAUGACCGGCCACACUGGAACUGAGACACGGUCCAGACUCCUACGGGAGGCAGCAGUGGGGAAUAUUGCACAAUGGGCGCAAGCCUGAUGCAGCCAUGCCGCGUGUAUGAAGAAGGCCUUCGGGUUGUAAAGUACUUUCAGCGGGGAGGAAGGGAGUAAAGUUAAUACCUUUGCUCAUUGACGUUACCCGCAGAAGAAGCACCGGCUAACUCCGUGCCAGCAGCCGCGGUAAUACGGAGGGUGCAAGCGUUAAUCGGAAUUACUGGGCGUAUAGCGCACGCAGCGGUUUGUUAAGUCAGAUGUGAAAUCCCCGGGAUCCACCUGGGAACUGCAUCUGAUACUGUCGAGCUUGAGUCUACGUAGAGGGGGAUAGAAAUACAUGUGUAUCCGUGGAAUGCGUAGAGAUGCUGGAAGAAUAUUCGGUGGACGACAGCGGACCCUGGACUAUUACUGACGCUCCUGU